CCGGCAAGAGGACGUAGAUAGAGGUGGGUAAAGAUAGAGAGGCUAAACCAAGGAAACUUGGGAAGGGGUGGCGCCACGGCAAUUCCAGAGUCGCGUUCAACCAAGUACGCGGAACCCGCGGAUCGCAAAGUUAGUGUGUAAGAGAUUGAAAGAGAGUGGUGGUUGCUGCCACAGAGCUUCGUUCAGCAGGCUCGUACGGUUUCGCCGUUGCUGUAGGAGUACGGGUUAGCUCGUUGCACGGACUUGCCGUUCCUGUCAAGUCGCGGUCACUUCACUCAUGUCGUUACGUACGAUCGGUGCGUGUUCACCAUAAGGUGCCGCGAGUAUGCUCCUUGAACGUCGACUCCACGCAGACGACGACACAGGGUCGACGACAAUUCUGACGGACGGAUCUAAAAAUCCGAUGGCCAGUUACGACAAAUGGACUAUAUCCACGUGAUCGGUGACAAAGGUGACUGGUGAAUAGUAACUUGAUGAAUGAUGCCCUAUUCUCUGCCUCCUGGUGAUGACCGAGAUCGCGAGGAGGGCCGGUGGUUUCAGCUAGAAGUGCGAGUAAACAAAGUGACGUCAACCCUCUGAUAGACCAGGGGGUCGUUGGCCGAGGGUGAGGUUGGCUGUUGUGAGGUUAGGAUUCUUAGACAGAGUCGGAGGGGGAUUAAAGUGUUGGUUAAGGCGAAUCAGGAUUGUCCAGGAGAAGACGAAAGGAAGUCGUCGAGCUGGAGGCGGAAGUUGGAGGCGGCGGUGGCCGCAGGGGCGUUAGUUCCCCCACAGCAUUAAACAACAUAAAUAUUAUCGAUACAAUAUCACACGAGUCUUCCUCAAGGUGUGUGAAACAGCGUUCGGUCCCUUUACGAGUGAGCCACACGUAUCUUAGCCAAUAUAAUAAACGUUACUAUGUUACUACGCCCGGUUUACGCCCACCAUACAUCAUGCAUCCUCCAUGGACCUGUCUAACGUAUACACAUCGCUUCAGAAACUACAGCUCUGUCGAAUUUAUUUUAGUGUAAAUUGUGACUCGCGAUGAAUAUGUACAACGUCGUGAGAAUUACGCGGUAAAAUAUGAAAAUUUUGUAGCCACCCAAGA